rnacentral:rRNA from 1 species
GACGAACGCUGGCGGCGCGCCUAACACAUGCAAGUCGAACGGAGCUUAAAGAGCUUGCUUUUUGAGCUUAGUGGCGAACGGGUGAGUAACGCGUGAGUAACCUGCCCUGGAGUGGGGGACAACAGUUGGAAACGACUGCUAAUACCGCAUAAGCCCACGGAUCCGCAUGGAUCUGCGGGAAAAGGAUUUAUUCGCUUCAGGAUGGACUCGCGUCCAAUUAGCUAGUUGGUGAGGUAACGGCCCACCAAGGCGACGAUUGGUAGCCGGACUGAGAGGUUGAACGGCCACAUUGGGACUGAGACACGGCCCAGACUCCUACGGGAGGCAGCAGUGGGGGAUAUUGCACAAUGGGGGAAACCCUGAUGCAGCGACGCCGCGUGGAGGAAGAAGGUUUUCGGAUUGUAAACUCCUGUCGUUAGGGACGAU